rnacentral:rRNA from 1 species
CCCGGCACGAAGCGGUGGAGCAUGUGGUUUAACUCGACGCAACGCGAAGAACCUUACCUGGGCUAGACAACGGUGGACCUCCCAGAGAUGGGGAUUUCCCUUCGGGGACUGCCGGAUCAGGUGCUGCAUGGCUGUCGUCAGCUCGUGUCGUGAGAUGUUGGGUUAAGUCCGCUAACGAGCGCAACCCUCGCUGUAUGUUACAUGUGUCAUACAGGACCGCCGGUAUCAAGCCGGAGGAAGGUGGGGAUGACGUCAAGUCCACAUGGCCUUUAUGUCCGGGGCUACACACACGCUACAAUGGUCGGUACAAUGGGUUGCUAAGCCGCGAGGUGGAGCCAAUCCCCCAAAGCCGGCCUCAGUUCAGAUUGCAGGCUGCAACUCGCCUGCAUGAAGCUGGAGUUGCUAGUAAACGCGCGUCAGCUAUAGUGCGUUGAAUACGUUCUCGGGCCUU